GGAGGCGGUGGGCUCCUGGUCCAGCGAGGGGCCUUCGGCGGACGAGGUCCCACUGCAGGGACCUUUGAGUCCCAAGGGGGUCCUGAAACCAAAGCCUGAGGUUCCGGCUUCCAUGCAACUGGCCCCCACCCUGCCCAUUCUGGACAAAGCUGCGCCCCUGGCUGACACAAGCAGAAACGGAAGAACCACAGCUUGGGGGUCCACAGCACACCCUAGGGCACCUGCAGGAUUUGGCGCUGCUCUGGAGAGGCCCGCUGCAAACACUGAACCACCAGCCAGCUGCACUUGUUGUCCUGGAUGUCCGUGCCGAUCUUACCCGUCACGC